rnacentral:rRNA from 1 species
GGGAUUGCCCCAGUAACGGCGAGUGAAGCGGCAACAGCUCAAAUUUGAAAUCUGGCCCUAGGCCCGAGUUGUAAUUUGUAGAGGAUGCUUUUGGCGCGGCGCCUUCCGAGUUCCCUGGAACGGGACGCCAUAGAGGGUGAGAGCCCCGUCUGGUUGGAUGCCUAGCCUCUGUAAAGCUCCUUCGACGAGUCGAGUAGUUUGGGAAUGCUGCUCUAAAUGGGAGGUAUAUGUCUUCUAAAGCUAAAUACCGGCCAGAGACCGAUAGCGCACAAGUAGAGUGAUCGAAAGAUGAAAAGCACUUUGAAAAGAGGGUUAAAUAGUACGUGAAAUUGUUGAAAGGGAAGCGCUUGUGACCAGACUUGGGCGUGGUGAAUCAUCCGGCGUUUUCGCCGGUGCACUUUGCCUGUCCAGGCCAGCAUCAGUUCGCCGCGGGGGAUAAAGGCUUCGGGAAUGUGGCUCCCUCGGGAGUGUUAUAGACCGUUGCGUAAUACCCUGGGGCGGACUGAGGUUCGCGCUCCGCAAGGAUGCUGGCGUAAUGGUCAUCAGCGA